CACAAUCACAUUUUGCUUCUCAUAGAUUGAGGACAAUGGAUUGAAAGUUCACUCAGUCCACGAGGAGGAGAAAAAGAAUCAACUUUCCAGAUAGGGAUCUCGUUUUUCUUCAAAUAGAUUGAGGGAAAAAUGGAAGAAAAGUCGAAGGGAAGAAGAAAAAAUGAUUUAACUUUUCAAGGUAUUUUGUGUUAAGCUUAUUGCUGGUAGUGAUAGGAGGGAAGCUGCUCACUAGCUUUAAGGCUACUUAAGUUUGUUCUAUGUUUAGCCUUUUUCACCUUAAUUAGGUAUGUUUAGUCUUUUGAUGUACUGUUGUUUACUUAAUGUUUCUUUUAC